UACGUAGGGUGCAAGCGUUGCUCGGAAUCACUGGGCGUAAAGCGCACGUAGGCGGCUUGUUAAGUCAGGGGUGAAAUCCUGGAGCUCAACUCCAGAACUGCCUUUGAUACUGGCAAGCUUGGAGUCCGGGAGAGGUGAGUGGAACUGCGAGUGUAGAGGUGAAAUUCGUAGAUAUUCGCAAGAACACCAGUGGCGAAGGCGGCUCACUGGCCCGGUACUGACGCUGAGGUGCGAAAGCGUGGGGAGCAAACAGG
rnacentral:rRNA from 1 species